GAUGAACGCUGGCGGCGUGCCUAAUACAUGCAAGUCGAGCGAACAGAUAAGGAGCUUGCUCCUUUGACGUUAGCGGCGGACGGGUGAGUAACACGUGGGUAACCUACCUAUAAGACUGGGAUAACUUCGGGAAACCGGAGCUAAUACCGGAUAACAUUUGGAACCGCAUGGUUCUAAAGUGAAAGAUGGUUUUGCUAUCACUUAUAGAUGGACCCGCGCCGUAUUAGCUAGUUGGUAAGGUAACGGCUUACCAAGGCAACGAUACGUAGCCGACCUGAGAGGGUGAUCGGCCACACUGGAACUGAGACACGGUCCAGACUCCUACGGGAGGCAGCAGUAGGGAAUCUUCCGCAAUGGGCGAAAGACUGACGGAGCAACGCCGCGUGAGUGAUGAAGGGUUUCGGCUCGUAAAACUCUGUUAUUAGGGAAGAACAAACGUGUAAGUAACUGUGCACGUCUUGACGGUACCUAAUCAGAAAGCCACGGCUAACUACGUG
rnacentral:rRNA from 1 species